rnacentral:rRNA from 1 species
AGUGAACGCUGGCGGUAGGCCUAACACAUGCAAGUCGAACGGCAGCACAGUAAGAGCUUGCUCUUACGGGUGGCGAGUGGCGGACGGGUGAGGAAUACAUCGGAAUCUACUUUUUCGUGGGGGAUAACGUAGGGAAACUUACGCUAAUACCGCAUACGACCUACGGGUGAAAGCAGGGGAUCUUCGGACCUUGCGCGAUUGAAUGAGCCGAUGUCGGAUUAGCUAGUUGGCGGGGUAAAGGCCCACCAAGGCGACGAUCCGUAGCUGGUCUGAGAGGAUGAUAAGCCACACUGGAACUGAGACACGGUCCAGACUCCUACGGGAGGCAGCAGUGGGGAAUAUUGGACAAAGGGCGCAAGCCCGAUCCAGCCAUCCCGCGUGGGUGAAGAAGGCCUUCGGGUUGUAAAGCCCUUUUGUUGGGAAAGAAAAGCAGCAGGUUAAUACCCCGCUGUUCUGACGGUACCCAAAGAAUAAGCACCGGCUAACUUCGUG